rnacentral:rRNA from 1 species
GACGAACGCUGGCGGCGUGCUUAACACAUGCAAGUCGAACGGAAAGACCCUGCUUUUGUGGGGUGCUCGAGUGGCGAACGGGUGAGUAACACGUGAGUAACCUGCCCUUGACUUUGGGAUAACUUCAGGAAACUGGGGCUAAUACCGGAUAGGAGCUCCUGCUGCAUGGUGGGGGUUGGAAAGUUUCGGCGGUUGGGGAUGGACUCGCGGCUUAUCAGCUUGUUGGUGGGGUAGUGGCUUACCAAGGCUUUGACGGGUAGCCGGCCUGAGAGGGUGACCGGCCACAUUGGGACUGAGAUACGGCCCAGACUCCUACGGGAGGCAGCAGUGGGGAAUAUUGCACAAUGGGCGGGAGCCUGAUGCAGCAACGCCGCGUGCGGGAUGACGGCCUUCGGGUUGUAAACCGCUUUCGCCUGUGACGAAGCGUGAGUGACGGUAAUGGGUAAAGAAGCACCGGCUAACUACGUG